CCCUGUCAAGAAAAAUCCAAGUCAAAUAUGGUUUCUCAGUCAAAUGGAGUUUUUAGGGCAACGAAAGUCUAAAAGGCCACAAGAGAAAUAGCACCACUGCAAUUUCAAACAAUGGCUGGAUACUUGCAUUUUUUUGGCAUUCACUGAAUUUGGGUUUUUCUCUGAAUUUCACAAAGAUUCAUGCACUACACAACAAUUACCAUAAGAUGCUCUCCUACACACGUUUUAGGACAAGCUACCACCAGGAACGAAUGAAUACAGCACAACAGGACUGAUGGACCUCAGUAGUGGAGGGGGAUCAGAAGUCUUGCAGGAUCUUGCCAAACACAACAGUCAUGAGGGGGCAAUGAGAGCAAAAAAUAAAAGGAGGGACAAAUUAAAGAAAGUACUUUAAAUAUUAAUAUUUAAGUUAGUCUCAGUACUGUAUUUUCUGCAAUAACAUUAGCUCUGUUAGCCAGCAUCUCUUAGUUUUGACCCCAGAAGACCACUGAACCGGCGAGUGUUACUAUUAGAUACGCCCUGCUUUGGGGAAAAUAGAAAAGAAGAGAGACAAAAAUCAUCAGCAUCCUCAUGUGCUCAAUUCACUUCCAUUCUAUGAGCUGCACAGCACAGCCCUGCUGCAACCAGGGGGUUGGAUCAGAGCUCCUUGGGACGGGGAAGGGAAGGGUGCGAGGCCAUAAGCACACCAACAGGAAGGAACAGAACAAGCAGAAAGGAGGAAAGUACUCGAGGAGAACCUUGUAGGCAGUCAGACCGGUGCCCUCUGCUUCCAUUUGUGGAGCUUUGUUUGCUUUUUAAUACAGAAAACACAGUACGUUUUGGCAAAGCCGUUAGCCACGAUGCCAUAGAAAAGAACGCUUUAGCAGUCCUCAAGGUAAUUUAUGUGUCUCAGCUGUUCAUACUCCCUCUAAUCUUGUGACAGGCAACAUUAAGGCCUAUUCCAUUGAGAACUAAUCACUCGGUAAGCAGCUUUACGCAGGAAUGGAGGUUUGUUUAAGAGCCCCUCAGACAGCAGGGAGGGGAGCGGAGCGCCUCCCCAAGAUGAAGCACAUAAAAUCUCCUGUCACAUUACUUCAAUUUUGGCAUUUGGAAGCAUCUUUUAAAUACUCUUAAGGCAUUUGAUUAUCAUUUCUGUGCUGCAAUUUCACAUUAACUCCAUCUCCCCGUGGGUCAGAGUCUUUACGUUCUCUACUACACACCACCUCAGGUACAAAAAGAAGUCUUUCCACGAACCAGUGUUUACCAGCAAACCAACGAGUUCCAAAUGUUCGGCCUCUCGCUCCCUAAAUAUACCACCUAGAUGUGAAUACUGCUCUGCUACAGAGUGAGAGAGAGUUCCCAACUCAAACCCACUGCAAAAAGAGUGAAACUUCCGCAAAGUGCACUUUAAGAAGAGGUAACUUUUUUUUUCUUUUUCUUUUUUUUUUUUUUUUGCUUAUGAAAGGAAACCAGUGAGUCCUCUAAGAAUAAAGUGGAGUAUUUUACAGUUAAGCACAUGAUCUGGGGCACAGAAAUCCGAUGUUGCUGCUCUGCUGGUACAGUAUGUGGGCUGUUAAUACUCUUCUUGCUCCUCCUGCGGCGCUCCUUCGUCGGGUAUCACAAAGCCUUCAUCUGUGGCGUAAAGGAUUUCCACAAUCCUCUGCAGCACCGGGUCGUUCUCCCCUUCGUUCUCCUGGCAGAUCAGCUCAAUGUUCCGCAGUUUGCCAAAGUAGAAGUCCCUCUCCUUCUCCAGGUCUUCAACAGUGAGCUUCAACACGUUGAUCUGCUCAAUCAAUCCUGCUGAUUCAUCAUCUCCUGCAGCCUUUUUGACCAUCCCAGUGCUGCCUUUGGGAGUUGCUGGGGUCCUCUGUGCAACAAUGGGCCUCUGUGGGGCUGCACUGCCAGUACCGAGAGGUUUCUUGGGUUUGUUCACCACCGGAGCAACGAGGUUUGGUGCCACUGUCUCCUGGCCUUGCCGGGCAGCCACGGGGUCGUAUUCCUUCCCAUCGUAGUUUGCAUCAAAAAAUUUUUUGAACCAUUGAACAAAUUCAAAGUUAUCCUGAAAUUUUCCUUUCACAAGUUUGUCCACAGGGAUUAUUUUGUCAACGCCCAUUCGUUUGAAACCUGCCUGUAGAACCUUGAAGUUCUGUAUGUACUCGUGUUCCAAUUUUGCUUGAAACUUCACUUUCUUGAGAGCUACCGAACCUGGGAAGAGCAUGUCCAUGAACUGGCAGUAAGCAGCACCUGAGCACAGCUGCUCGAUCUUGGUCAGCGUGAGCUGCAGGGAGUCGUUGACCCAGGCCAGCAUGUCAUGGCGGCUCAGGUUCUCGCUGGUCACCGAGGUGGAGUACACAUUCACUGCCAUUUUCUGCCACACAGAGCCGCGGUUGGGACCGCCGCACCCGCUCACGCCGCAGCCCCAUCGCGGCUCGGAGCCCCGCACGCGGCGCUGCCCCCCGCGCCUCCCGGCCCCCCACCCGCUCGGAG
rnacentral:lncRNA from 1 species